rnacentral:rRNA from 1 species
AUUGAACGCUGGCGGCAGGCCUAACACAUGCAAGUCGAGCGGAUGAAGGGGGCUUGCUCCUGGAUUCAGCGGCGGACGGGUGAGUAAUGCCUAGGAAUCUGCCUGGUAGUGGGGGAUAACGUCCGGAAACGGGCGCUAAUACCGCAUACGUCCUGAGGGAGAAAGUGGGGGAUCUUCGGACCUCACGCUAUCAGAUGAGCCUAGGUCGGAUUAGCUAGUUGGUGGGGUAAAGGCCUACCAAGGCGACGAUCCGUAACUGGUCUGAGAGGAUGAUCAGUCACACUGGAACUGAGACACGGUCCAGACUCCUACGGGAGGCAGCAGUGGGGAAUAUUGGACAAUGGGCGAAAGCCUGAUCCAGCCAUGCCGCGUGUGUGAAGAAGGUCCUCGGAUUGUAAAGCACUUUAAGUUGGGAGGAAGGGCAGUAAGUUAAUACCUUGCUGUUUUGACGUUACCAACAGAAUAAGCACCGGCUAACUUCGUG